UGAUUGAAAUCUAAUCCGAUAAACAUGAUCUACGAAUUUCGAUCUGCGAAAAAUCAGUGUCUAAAAUUUAUGAUUUUUUUUUUUUUGAGAGAGGAAGGUAGCAUGCUACCUGCUUCGUUUAUUUAAUUUAGAAAUAAACUUAGCUGAAAAUGUGAAUCAACUAGGAUUCGAAUUUGGGUCUCGGGUACCGACCAUCAAGCCAUUUUGCCACUUGCGUUAGGGGCGCGCGGUAGAUUUUG
rnacentral:lncRNA from 1 species